CUUUCCACGUCAGUUUUAAUCUAGCGGCGUACUGCAGUACAUGAUAUAUAAGGCAUGAAGAUGUUUUUGUUACAGAUCAGCUAAAUUAUCUAUAGUAAAGGAUCCUACAAAUUAAUGUAAGAUACAGUCACAGAAAAUAAUUAUAUUUAUAAGUACGUCUGAGUCAGUGACAACCCUACAACAGAUGUAUCCAUCGGAUCGCCAUCAAUGAUGGUGAU
rnacentral:lncRNA from 1 species